rnacentral:tRNA from 1 species
AUUUUCUUAGUAUAAUUAGUACUAAUGACUUCCAAUCAUUAAGCCUUGGUUAAACCCCAAGAGAAAAUA